rnacentral:rRNA from 1 species
GGGACCUUCGGGCCUUGCGCUAUCAGAUGAGCCUAGGUCGGAUUAGCUAGUUGGUGGGGUAAUGGCUCACCAAGGCGACGAUCCGUAACUGGUCUGAGAGGAUGAUCAGUCACACUGGAACUGAGACACGGUCCAGACUCCUACGGGAGGCAGCAGUGGGGAAUAUUGGACAAUGGGCGAAAGCCUGAUCCCCCCCUGCCGCGUGUGUGAAGAAGGUCUUCGGAUUGUAAAGCACUUUAAGUUGGGAGGAAGGGCAGUAAAUUAAUACUUUGCUGUUUUGACGUUACCGACAGAAUAAGCACCUGCUAA